rnacentral:rRNA from 1 species
GAUGAACGCUGGCGGCGUGCCUAAUACAUGCAAGUCGAGCGAACGGACGAGAAGCUUGCUUCUCUGAUGUUAGCGGCGGACGGGUGAGUAACACGUGGAUAACCUACCUAUAAGACUGGGAUAACUUCGGGAAACCGGAGCUAAUACCGGAUAAUAUUUUGAACCGCAUGGUUCAAAAGUGAAAGACGGUCUUGCUGUCACUUAUAGAUGGAUCCGCGCUGCAUUAGCUAGUUGGUAAGGUAACGGCUUACCAAGGCAACGAUGCAUAGCCGACCUGAGAGGGUGAUCGGCCACACUGGAACUGAGACACGGUCCAGACUCCAACGGGAGGCAGCAGUAGGGAAUCUUCCGCAAUGGGCGAAAGCCUGACGGAGCAACGCCGCGUGAGUGAUGAAGGUCUUCGGAUCGUAAAACUCUGUUAUUAGGGAAGAACAUAUGUGUAAGUAACUGUGCACAUCUUGACGGUACCUAAUCAGAAAGCCACGGCUAACUACGUGCCAGCAGCCGCGGUAAUACGUAGGCGGCAAGCGUUAUCCGGAAUUAUUGGGCGUAAAGCGCGCGUAGGCGGUUUUUUAAGUCUGAUGUGAAAGCCCACGGCUCAACCGUGGAGGGUCAUUGGAAACUGGAAAACUUGAGUGCAGAAGAGGAAAGUGGAAUUCCAUGUGUAGCGGUGAAAUGCGCAGAGAUAUGGAGGAACACCAGUGGCGAAGGCGACUUUCUGGUCUGUAACUGACGCUGAUGUGCGAAAGCGUGGGGAUCAAACAGGAUUAGAUACCCUGGUAGUCCACGCCGUAAACGAUGAGUGCUAAGUGUUAGGGGGUUUCCGCCCCUUAGUGCUGCAGCUAACGCAUUAAGCACUCCGCCUGGGGAGUACGACCGCAAGGUUGAAACUCAAAGGAAUUGACGGGGACCCGCACAAGCGGUGGAGCAUGUGGUUUAAUUCGAAGCAACGCGAAGAACCUUACCAAAUCUUGACAUCCUUUGACAACUCUAGAGAUAGAGCCUUCCCCUUCGGGGGGGCAAAGUGACAGGUGGUGCAUGGUUGUCGUCAGCUCGUGUCGUGAGAUGUUGGGUUAAGUCCCGCAACGAGCGCAACCCUUAAGCUUAGUUGCCAUCAUUAAGUUGGGCACUCUAAGUUGACUGCCGGUGACAAACCGGAGGAAGGUGGGGAUGACGUCAAAUCAUCAUGCCCCUUAUGAUUUGGGCUACACACGUGCUACAAUGGACAAUACAAAGGGCAGCGAAACCGCGAGGUCAAGCAAAUCCCAUAAAGUUGUUCUCAGUUCGGAUUGUAGUCUGCAACUCGACUACAUGAAGCUGGAAUCGCUAGUAAUCGUAGAUCAGCAUGCUACGGUGAAUACGUUCCCGGGUCU